GGUUGUAUACUUUAAAUUAAAAGUUCCUGUUUGCAUCAGGAAAAUGAGUCUAUUACUGUCUCUUCGAUCG
rnacentral:tRNA from 1 species